AAUCAGUAAAUUUUUUAAUACCUUUUGCUCCAAUGGUUUAGAAUUUUUCAGGAUGUUAAAAAUGUAUCUUACAAUAUUGAAUAAUUAAAUUUGUUAUUCAUGAUAAUGUAGUAGAUGCAUAGAUCUUAGCGAACUAUUCUCUUCUCAGAACAGAUAAACUAAACGUAGAGUAGAAACAUCUAGCUAGCUAUUAUUCUAGUAUAUUCUAAUCAUCAUUGAUAAUAAUAGCUAUUAGGUUAUUAUUUUUUAAAA
rnacentral:lncRNA from 1 species